UUCCUUUCAGCUGUGUGUUAGAAAGAAAUCUUGCCGAUAUGGCACCAGAUGAAGCGACAAAGUAUUGUGAGGAGAACAAGGUACAAAGUGCCCUUCCAAAAAUCAUAAAGACUGGAUUUUCUGCAAUUAAUCUCAUAUAUUUCUUCACUGCUGGCCCUGAUGAGGUGAAGUGCUGGCAAAUCAGAAGACAAACAAAGGCCCCUCAGGCUGCAGGAACAAUCCAUUCUGACUUUGAGAGAGGGUUUAUAUGUGCUGAGGUCAUGAAAUUUGAUGAUCUCAAGGAGCUUGGCAGUGAGUCAGCUGUUAAGGCUGCUGGGAAGUAUAGACAAGAAGGGAAGACCUAUGUUGUCCAAGAUGGAGACGUCAUAUUCUUCAAGUUCAAUGUAUCGGGUGGUGGAAAGAAAUGAUAUACAUCUGUAAUGGGCUGUGGAGUAAUUUAAGGAAAUCAAAUUUGAUUGUGUGAUUCAUUGUUUUUGGGGUCACAUCUUUAUGACAGGGAAAGGGAAAGGCUCAAAGGCAUGAGUUUUCCACCUUUGGAUUUAUACUCGGUGGAUGUUGGUGGAUCCCAUCAAACAUUAAAUUUUAUUUUAGGAUUAUUAUUUCAAUAUAAGGAUGGAGGCUCAACUGCUCAAGUUCAUAAAGUUCCCAGUCUCCACAGCCUCGGCUAAAGA
rnacentral:misc_RNA from 1 species